AGCAGAUGGAAACAUCAUCUGAAAGUGAAGAGAUGACUGUCACCGGCUGCACUGAGACGCCAGCCGUCCCCCCUAAAAGGCCGCGCUCCAAAUCACCACCUGACAAACGCAAAAGGGAAAAGUGGAAGGAAGCAGCAUCUGAACGUGACGAGGAAACGUCGUCUGGCUCCCCUGAGUCGCCGGUCGUCCCACCCAAAAGAUGGCGCUUAAAGUUACCGACUGAAAACCUCCAAAGGUUUCAACAAUUACUUUUCAACUUGAUCAACAAGCUCUGUCCUGUAAAGGACGAACAAGUAAAUUACCAGCUCCAGAAUCGUCCUGACAAAGAGAAGAAAAGAAAGAAACGGGAUAAAGAAAAGAUUUCAUAUGUUUUUACACAUUUCUGUGGGAAGACAGAUGGUUACAAAAAAAAUCUUUUUUAUUUGGAAAAUCAUUCAGUACAGAAAUCCAGCUUUUCUCCCAAAAGAUGUAAUCAAUUUGCAUUUGCUUUUAUCGAGAUGAAUAAUGGUCCACCUAAGAUUUUUCCUAUAACUUUCCCUGAUAAGAAAGAACACUCUGAGGAAAUUUUACUUAGGCAUAUUAAUACUUUUCUGGAGAAGAACAGAACCCAUGCAAAGUCUAUUGGGAUUUAUACAGUGAAUAGUCCAUGUUUGAAGAGAUGUUUGCCUAAAAUUAUAUCAGAAUCCUAUAAGUGGCAGAAGUUUGGAAUUCUUACAGAUGUGUAUUUUUCAUCGUACUGGAGAAAAUCUUAUCUCAAAACCAUAGAUGUUUU